rnacentral:lncRNA from 1 species
CACAGCUUUAUAUGUAAAAUAGUUAAUAAGUUGCUGCAAAACAAGAAAAGUCAGAGACAUAAACAUUUUGACUCCUCUCAGAAACAAUCAUUCUCACCGUUUUGACAUCUCCAAAGGUAUCAUCGUAGUUCCCAGCAACGUCCUCGUUCACAAUCAAGAGCUUCCUUUUGCUCCUCCGAUUCGCUAUCCUCGGUACACGCUUCGAAGAAAGCCUGAAAACAAUGCCCGAGCCAGCAAAGGAGCUCCCCAGCUCCAGCUUUCUUGCACUGCCAAGGAUCUUCUUCUUGCUCCUCGUGUGAGCAUCCUUACAUAAACAUGAAUCCAUCACCGAUGAGCCAACAACAAACAGGGCACCCACCAUUACUCCAAACAAAAAAAGAUCAAAACUUUGACUGGGGAAAGCGAACUCCAAGAAAUCAAGAACACAGUAGGUGGAUCUAUGGUGAGAAUCAGACCAAGAACAAAACAGAGAAACAGAACAAAACAGAGAGAGAGAACACGAGUUGGGUGUGUAAGAUGGAAAAUGGCCGUUGAAUACUAGCCAGUCAAAAUCAGGGACAAGUGCUUUAGAUAUUUUAUUAUAUUUUUUUAAAAUUCUUAAACGCAACAAAGCAAAGGCAAAGUAGAAAACCACCGGGUGGGCUUUCGGGUUCACAUGGACACGUUUGUACUUAUUGUCUUCUUGUAACUUUGCGUAAAUGAGGAACAACACUAAAGUAAUGGACAACCUAUAUAGCACAUGGCCAUCUCAGAGGAAGAGAGUCGCAAUAGCCACGAGUUCGAGCUCAAUCUACACGUGAAUGGUCUCGAACUAAAAACGUGUUUUUAGUAUUAUAGUAUGUGAAUGUGUCAAAAAGACAAGUUUUUCGAUCGGAUCUAUGUGUAAUGAUUCUACUUGAAAUGACCUAUGUUGUUAGAAUGCACCAUCCACUGAGUUAUGACAUACAUGAUACAACUAAUAGUAGUAGGGAACUUGAACGGCCAGAGUCUUAUUUUGGUGGUGAUGAACGAACUCGGGAAACAUUUAGUCAUGUUGUCUAGAUACAGACCUUUUUUUUCGUGGAAACGAGUUUUAACAUUUGACAUUUCGUGGGAACGUAUUUGUACAAAGUUGACUGACUAACACUCGACUCCACCGUUAUGUGGUGUUGAGUGAUUGUUGAGAGUAAUCACUCGGUGAUUAGCAUCACAGCUUCAUUCAUCAUUCCUGGAAGCUGCCCUUUUCAAAAAGAAAACAAAAAGUUCUGUUAGUGCAGGUGCCUCAUCUAUUUCCUACAACCCAGCCUGGAUCACUUGCGAGUUGGCUGGUUUUAAAAGGAGCUAAGGCAAUAAACACUCGGAGAAACCAAACCAAAAGCCAUAACAUUUGAUCGAGGCUUGUGAAUAGCAUUCAAACAAACAGCAUUUCAGGUUUAUCAGCUACCUAUUAAGCUACCAAUACGAGCUAAAAGAUCAAAAAACGAACCCACUACUUUCAGUUUCAACAGAAUGUAGCACAUGUACAAUCCGAAAAACAGCAAUGAGAAAAAGUAUAAACUGCUGAUGUAUCUUCUCUCAUUAUCUCAAAAGAGAUGAUCUUUUAGCACCCUUUUCCAAGCUUUUUGCUUUUACCCUUUGUGGUUGGUUUGCUAUAAACUUUAAAGGAAAGCCUACAAUUACAUGAUGGUCAUUUACAAUCCCAAGCACCUAAACAGGUUCAAGUUUAAGAUCCACUAAAAGUUUGAACCCAGAAUCUAAUCCAUAUCAUUCUCAAAUACAUCCUCUAGAACCCUAAACAAAACCCGUAAGCUGCUGCCAUCUACACAUCAUGGCGUCAAUUGAUUCGUUAUUACCAAAAAGUUCAAAUUAGAUUACCCAUCAAAACUCAAUAAAGUUGCCAACUUUGAGAUCAAUUUCAAAAACCCAGAAACGCAGCAUCCUAAAGAAAUCAUCUUUACCUGGAGAAAACUCUUCCAAGAACAUCCAGAGACGCCGCACGAAUGCACAGUCUUGAACUGGUCAAUACCAAGCUUCUUGUUGAUAAACCCAACCUUGAAGUAGAUCGAAUCCGUGGGAGGCAGAUCGACCUUGAUCUCAUCCACAUCCAACCAGAUAAAGAGCCGCUUCACCUGAAUGCCCUCGAGCUCGGUGAUGGACCCGUAGCUGAUCCGUCCGGACACGGUCUUCUCGUAGCGAACGCGGUAGUCGAAUUCGAUUUCGCAGGACCUGGCUAAGCAGACGACGAACCGGCCGUCGUCGGAGAGGGUGAAGUUGGUGACGGAGUCGGGCAAGAGGCCGCUCGGGAGGCCGUAUUUGGGGAGGAGGUCGUAGACGGUGGAGAGAGAGAGGGAGAGGGUCGUUGUGGUGAGAGAGAAGAGGAAGAGGGUUGAGAAAGAGAAGCGGUGGAGGGCCAUGCUUUGUUGGAGGAUUAGAGAAGAAGAAGGAGAGAGACUUCUGGAGAUUUUGAUGGGUUCUUCUCCCUUUUGUCACGCAAAUCCAACAAAAUUCAACUCAAAUCAAGUUUUUAAUGUUUUCAAACAUUUAAAAGUAUAUUAAAUUUAACCAUAAAUAUAUUUUUAUCACUAAUGUUCAAUAAAAUCAAAUUAAUAAUAUUAAAUAAAUUCAAUAUUUUAUAAGAGAAAAAGACCAAAAUAGCACUAAAUCAAGUUUUUGUUCCCAAACUAGCACUCAAGGUCAAAAGUCACAAAAAUAGCACUCAAGGGGUGGGGUUUAGGGUUUAGAAUUUAGGGUUUAGGGUUUAGAGUUUAAGUUUUAGGGUUUAGAGUUGAGAAGUGAGGUUUUGGGGAUAAGAUUUCAAAUUUUGAAAAAUAAAAAAAUUUAAAUUUUUCAAAAGAUAAAAUGCUAUUUUGGUCAUUUUAGUUUGUCUCCAUGAGGCGUUCACGCAUCAACGCCAAGUUCUCAUCGGAUAUAUCUUGGUAUAUCUUCCCAUGGUCGCAUUUCUACAAGCAACAACAAACUAUACAAGAUUAGUUUUGAGUCUUUUCUGGUUCACAUGGCAAAACCGGAGAGGCGGGAGAUUGUACCUUGAUCCACUUGCCAUACAAGUGGAGCCGCGUGAUCAUCACUCUUUCCGCAAGCUCCUGAUUUUCCUACAAGUAAGUUAAAAGACAAAGCUCUCAGAUGAGACAACAAAAGUACUCUUCUGUCUUGCCAUGUUGAUAUAUUUUCUAUACCAAGCUCUAAACAAGGCUGAAUCAAACAUAGUAUAGCACAACACAGAGUGUGGUUUUAUGAUAAGAACAAAACCUAUGAACUUGCUUAUUCUUAUUCCAAUUCCAUAAAGUGAGAAGAACUGUCAACACAAAGGCUGAUCCAAACCCUUUUAGUAAAAUAAUUUGCUGAGGUAAGUCUUGUAUAUAUAUACUAGAGUCCUCACUAACUGCUCUAUAACCACCCCACCAGAGCUACAAUCAGCUACAAACAGUCCUACGCUAGAUAUAGUAGAGACCUGCUGCUUAACUUAUUCAACUAGGCUUUAUAGGAUUACCUUGCCGAGUUUGCGGAGGAAACGUUUACCAUCGGUUGGUCUGUUUGAUACGACGUAACUGUUGUAAAACAAAAGCAUACACAUAAAGAUCAGAUGCCAAAAAAAUGAUCACCUAAGUGUUUUUGUUGAUGCAAUUCAUCCUUAUAAAGAACUUGGAGAGCAAUAAGAAACAACUCACUUAUAGAACCAAGUGUACCGGGGAGGAUUCAUUUCGUAGAGCUGAUGAAGAACCGUCCUCACAGCUUUAUAUGUAAAAUAGUUAAUAAGUUGCUGCAAAACAAGAAAAGUCAGAGACAUAAACAUUUUGACUCCUCUCAGAAACAAUCAUUCUCACCGUUUUGACAUCUCCAAAGGUAUCAUCGUAGUUCCCAGCAACGUCCUCGUUCACAAUCAAGAGCUUCCUUUUGCUCCUCCGAUUCGCUAUCCUCGGUACACGCUUCGAAGAAAGCCUGAAAACAAUGCCCGAGCCAGCAAAG